rnacentral:rRNA from 1 species
GUGCCCAGCGAGCAUUUUGGCACGACGGAAGACUGGUGGCUGAAGGCGAGGGCGGCAAUCCCGAAACCGUUACGGAGGAAUUUCGACACGAUCGCUAUCCUGAUACACUGGAGGAUAUGGAAGGAGAGAAACGCGAGAAUUUUUGAUAAUGUAGCCAGCACCGUAGACAGGGUGCUGGAGUUAAUUAAGGAAGACAUUAGAAUGUGGCGGGCUGCAGGUUGCAUCUGCGACCUGCCGGCGAACGCCUAA